rnacentral:rRNA from 1 species
GGGACCCAGCGGAGGGAUCAUUACUGGUUAUUACAACUCCACCCUUUGUGAACCUUACCGUCGUUUCUCGGCGUACUACCCCGUUGGCUACCCCGUGAGGUUUGCCGCUGUCAGGAUCUACCCUGCAGAGGUUACCCUGUACCGGGGGAUGAUGCCAUGGCGCUGGCUACCCUGGAGAAGUAAUUCUUCGGGGAAUGAUGCCACCGGUAGCGUCGAAAGGACCCAUCGAAUACUUGUUUCUCUUCCAGUUCCAAUGAGUUAGAAUAUACCUGAUCGAACUUUCUGGGGGCUUUUUCUGGUGGCGGCGCUCGAAAACUUCUACAUAGAACUGCAAGCUCGAACGUAUAUAGGUCGAUAGUGUGGUGAUAUGUGUUUUUUUGUAGGCGUGACUCGUCCGCUCGAAAUGUGUUUUUGCUUCAAUUACUUUCUCUCAAAAGGGGUGGUUGGGGCGGCUGCUCGAAUAAAAAUCUCGAAUUUCUUUUUGUCUGUACCAAUAAGCGUUUGUGUUUUUACUGCUCGAAAUUACCUUGCUCAAACAUCUCUCAAAACAUCGUUCCAAAUAAUUUCCCCUGCGGAUAAAAGGACCGUAGGAGUGAUCGGUGGAUGUGCCGGUAGGUGGCUAGAUGGGCUAGCUGAACACAAUACUUUCCUAAAAGUUUUGUUUCUUGUUUUUUCUUACCCUGGAGAACUGAAAUGCUUCUUAUAUGAUUUUACUAUUAAACAAAAGUUUAAAACUUUCAACAACGGAUCUCUUGGUUCUGGCAUCGAUGAAGAACGCAGCGAAAUGCGAUAAGUAAUGUGAAUUGCAGAAUUCAGUGAAUCAUCGAAUCUUUGAACGCACAUUGCGCCCAUUAGUAUUCUAGUGGGCAUGCUUAUCCGAGCGUCAUUUCAACCCUUAAGCCCCUGUUGCUUAGCGUUUGGGAGUCUGCGUCCUAGGGCGCAGUUCCUUAAAGUUAGUGGCGGAGUUAUAGCACACUCUUAAGCGUAGUAGUUUAUGCCUCGCUUCUGGAGUAGCUGUACUGCCGGCCGUAAAACCCCCUAUACUUCUAGUGGUUGAACCCGAUAGGAG